rnacentral:rRNA from 1 species
GUAGGUGGCAAGCGUUGUCCGGAAUUAUUGGGCGUAAAGCGCGCGCAGGCGGUUCGUUUAAGUCUGAUGUGAAAGACCCACGGGCUCAACCGUGGAGGGUCAUUGGAAACUGGAGAACUUUGAGUACGGAAGAGGAAAGCGGAAUUCCACGUGUAGCGGUGAAAUGCGUAGAGAUGUGGAGGAACACCAGUGGGCGAAGGCGGCUUUCUGGUCUGUAACUGACGCUGAGGCGCGAAAGCGUGGGGAGCAAACAGGAUUAGAUACCCUGGUAGUCCACGCCGUAAACGAUGAGUGCUAAGUGUUAGGGGGUUUCCGCCCCUUAGUGCUGCAGCUAACGCAUUAAGCACUCCGCCUGGGGAGUACGGCCGCAAAGGCUG